CUACGGGAGGCAGCAGUGGGGAAUAUUGGACAAUGGGGGAAACCCUGAUCCAGCAAUGCCGCGUGUGUGAAGAAGGCCUGCGGGUUGUAAAGCACUUUCGGUUGGGAGGACUGCUUCUAGCACUAAUAUUGUUGGAAGUUGACGUUACCUUCAGAAGAAGCACCGGCUAACUCCGUGCCAGCAGCCGCGGUAAUACGGAGGGUGCAUGCGUUAGUCGGGAUUACUGGGCGUAAAGCGCGCGUAGGCGGCUAGAUCAGUCGGGUGUGAAAGCCCCGGGCUUAACCUGGGAACUGCAUCCGAUACUGUCUAGCUUGAGUACAGGAGAGGAGAGUGGAAUUCCACAUGUAGCGGUGAAAUGCGUAGAUAUGUGGAGGAACACCAAUGGCGAAGGCAGCUCUCUGGCCUGAUACUGACGCUGAGGUGCGAAAGCGUGGGGAGCAAACAGGAUUAGAUACCCCGGUAGUC
rnacentral:rRNA from 1 species